UCGGUGUUGACCGCGUAUAUUUGACGGCCGGAAGUGUUCGCGUGUCUUUUUGCUAUCAUUUUUCAAUAUUUUGAGGACAAAACGAUAUUAUAUGACUGUGGAGAGAUUGUUUCUUCAUAAAUGAGGUUGUUUAUCAACAGACAAUCUGGACAAUAACGGGCCGAUGAUCUCUGUUCGAGACCCCAAGGAGUUUAUUCCGUAUGGCAGGGGUCAAUGCAUGCGUCACCCCCGUGAAGUGGGCUUGCUGCCCUCAUCGAGUGAUGUUGACUCUCCCAGCGGUACCAGUGUACAGCCGGGACAAUGGCGGCUGUAUCUGCACACGGAGCACGGGACCGAGGUGGAGGAGGAGCUGUACACCGAGCACAACAUGCUGGUGUGCAGUCGGGGAGUCGGGCCGCAUCGCGCCUUCACCAUGGACGCGCCCAUCA